GCAACCCACACGUGGGGGGACUUCACCCAAUCCAUCGAAGGCCUGAAAAGAACAAAAAGGCUGACCCUCCGUGGGGAAUGCCAUUAGUGCAUAAAUCAAAGGAAGACUGUUUAUUUUCUUCAGAAUUCCAAGAGUUGUGUAUCAUUUUGGAAAAUCACACCACCCGCAGCAGCUCAUGUUAUCUGAGUCACCAAUCCCACUCCUCUGACUUCAACUGCAUUGGAGGGGUGGCCCAACCUGAGCUUCUUGGGGCAGGUGUCAGCCCCUGAUCACUUCUUUCUGUUGCCCAGAGGCGGGUGCCUGCGUUGGAAGUAAUCAGCAAAUACUUUGUCUCAUUCUUCUUUAUAUUUCAGUUAUGACAUUAUAUUAAUUUUUCUUAAAA
rnacentral:lncRNA from 1 species